GAUGAACGCUGGCGGCGUGCCUAAUACAUGCAAGUCGAGCGAACGGGCGAGAAGCUUGCUUCUCUGAUGUUAGCGGCGCACGGGUGAGUAACACGUGGAUAACCUACCUAUAAGACUGGGAUAACUUCGGGAAACCGGAGCUAAUACCGGAUGAUAUUUUGAACCGCAUGGUUCAAAAGUGAAAGACGGUCUUGCUGUCACUUAUAGAUGGAUCCGCGCUGCAUUAGCUAGUUGGUAAGGUAACGGCUUACCAAGGCAACGAUGCAUAGCCGACCUGAGAGGGUGAUCGGCCACACUGGAACUGAGACACGGUCCAGACUCCUACGGGAGGCAGCAGUAGGGAAUCUUCCGCAAUGGGCGAAAGCCUGACGGAGCAACGCCGCGUGAGUGAUGAAGGUCUUCGGAUCGUAAAACUCUGUUAUUAGGGAAGAACAUAUGUGUAAGUAACUGUGCACAUCUUGACGGUACCUAAUCAGAAAGCCACGGCUAACUACGUG
rnacentral:rRNA from 1 species